UACCUGCAGCUCGAGUGGUAACCGCUUUUAUUGGGCCUAAAGCGUCCGUAGCCGGUUUGGUAAAUAUCUGGGUAAAUCGUGAGGCUUAACUUCACGAAUUUCGGAUAGACUGCCAGACUUGGGAUCGGGGGAGGUCAGAGGUACUCCAGGGGUAGCGGUGAAAUGUUGUAAUCCUUGGAGGACCACCGGUAGCGAAGGCGUCUGACUAGAACGAGUCCGACGGUGAGGGACGAAGCCCUGGGGCGCAAACCGGAUUAGAUACCCGGGUAGUCCAGGGUGUAAACAAUGUGGGCUUUGUAUUGGAGGUCCCACGUGGGCGUCCAGUGCAGAAGAGAAGUUGUUAAGCCCACCGCCUGGGAAGUACGGUCGCAAGGCUGAAACUUAAAGGAAUUGGCGGGGGAGCACAGCAACGGGAGGAGCGUGCGGUUU
rnacentral:rRNA from 1 species